rnacentral:lncRNA from 1 species
AUAUUUUUGUUAUCAUAGCCAGAACUGACCAGAACAUCAUUAGAUUUCUCUCCGUUUUGUUUCCUUUCUUUUUAACCAACACAUAUAUGUUGCUUGGUGGAUAAGGCAUUCUUGUAGUGCUUUAUAAGUAUUAGCCCAUUUAAUCAUUAUAACCAUCCCAUAGAACAGGUAUUCAUUUGAUUAAGAAAACUGAGGUAUGAAAAGGUUAAGUAACUUGCUCAAAAUCACAUGCUAGUUAGUUGCAGAAUCGAUUGAAAUUUUACUUUAAAAUUCCCUUAUUGUUAAGUUCAUGCUCUUUCUAGUUUCCUGCGGUUUCCCAUGGUGCUGCAGUGCACAUCCCAGGUACCCAGCAAGCAGCCUGGAGAGGAGCAGGAAGUCAGGUCCAGGGGGACUGAGAAGGUCAGAAGCACCAACACAGGCAGAAGAAAGAAGGGCUGAAAGCCUUCUUUCUGAAGUGUGGUAUGCAGGUGGCCUGCAGAAAGAACACAUUCUCACAGCAUCCACGAGCAGAAAGAACAGACCAUGGAGCCAAUCAAGGACAAUUUAUCUUGAGAACAGAAAAGGUUAAAGUAAGUCAAUAAGGGCCAGCUUGCUGGGCAGGGUUUCAAUGUGGAAAAGUUGCUUAUUGAGCCGCAACCAAGGAUCCUAACAGUCAUUAUUUCUCAAUGAUUUGGAUGAUAUGUAUGAAAGAAUAUUAUAUUACAUCAUCAAAUAGCACAUUAAUAUGAUUUGAUAUGUUUACCUGGCAAAUUUGCUAUAGUUACUUAGCAUUUGAGAAUUUUCAUUUAUAUUGAAUUGAUUCAAAUGCAUACGGAGUGAAUAUUUGCUGUUUCUUCCUGGAUGGCAUUAUAUAGCUAAAAUAAGAGAAAGACUAUUUUUAUUUUUAUAUAUUUUUACUUUUUUUAGAGACAGUCUCACUCUGUCACUCAGGCUGGAGUGCAGUGGUGCAAUCUCGGCUCACUGCAACCUCCGCCUCCUGGGUUCAAGCGAUUCUUCUGCCUCAGCCUCCCAAGUAGCUGGAAUUACAGGUGCACACUACCAUGCCCAGCUAAUUUUUGUUUGUUUUUUGAGACAGAGGCUCACUCUGUUGCCCAGGCUGGAGUGCAGUGGUGCGAACUCGGCUCAUUGCAACCUCUACCUCCUGGGUUCAAGCAAUUCUCCUGCCUCAGCCUCCCGAGUAGCUGGGACUACAGGCGCCCGCCACCAUGCCUGGCUAAUUUUUGUAUUUUUAGUAGAGAUGGGGUUUCCCCAUGUUGGCCAGGAUGAUCUCGAUCUCUUGACCUCGUGAUCCACCCACCUUGGCCUCCCAAAGUGCUGGGAUUACAGGCGUGAGCCACUGUGCCUGGCCAAGAAAGACUAUUUUUUAAGAUAAUAAACUAAGAGAUGUAUAGAAAGCAAGUAGUUGAAAAUAAAAUUAGAUAAGAACUGAUGAAAACGAGAGUUAGUAGAAAUUAUGGAACAUCUUAGAUUUGGUCAAACAAAAAUAAAAACAGGCAGGAAUUUCCUUCCUAAAAUGAACUAAAUUUUGAAAAUGUAGAAGCAAAACAAAUUUUAGAUUUUGAAAACAGAGAUCCUUAAAACAGGAAUGUUUCUGGAAUAAAUGUCAUUAUCUCUAAAUAUCUUUUAAAAGUCCUUGCUGCAUGGAGGCAUAUCGUGUUCCUGGAUGAGAACACUUGCUAUUAUAACAAUAUCAAUUUUCCCCGAACUAAACCAUACAUUUACCUCAAUUUUCUAAAAUCCCAAGAGAACCAUGAGGGUCUCCAGUGGCGGCACUAGCAUAGAAAUACAGAAUCUAUGACACAAUAAAAACUUGAGAAACAGGUUCAAAUAUGCAUUAAAAAGUGGCCUGAAAUUAAAGCAUUUAAAUGUACUGAGGAAAGGAUUAACUGCUUAAUAAAUGAUAUUAAAACAAAACGUGAGCUCAUCAAGUUGCCAAAAAUAUAUUUUUCAAAUAAAAAUUUCCACUAUUGGUAAUAGAGUUCAGGAAACAGAACAUUCUCGUGGUCUGAUUGGAGUAUAAAUCGGCACAUUUCUGGAGGGAAAUUACACAGAUAUAAAAUCUUCAACAAUGUCUAUAUUUUAUGAGCCACUAAUUCCGUUUCUAAGAAUGUUUUCUAAAGAAAUCUUUGUAUUUUAUUUCAUUUUUAAUUUUUAGAGACGGGGUCUCACUCUGUCACCCAAACUGGAGUACAGUGGCAUGAUCAUAGCUCACUACAGUCUGGAACUCCUGGGCUCAACUGAAAGAGUUGUUGAUGUGUCCAAAGAUUUAUCUCUGAAGAUAAUAACUGAGUGUUGAUGGUUUUGCCUAAAUUAUUUAUAAAUCUAAAUAGUCAAUAGGAAGGUAUGAUUAAAUAAAUUAUAGAACACGCUCACAAUGAAAUACUGUGCAGCCAUCAAAAUUAUGUGGCAUGACAGUGAGCUAACAUCUGUCCAGUGCUUGGCAUGUGCCAAGCAGAUUUCUAAGAACUUGACGUGCAACAACGUGUUUCAGCCUCCCCACACAUCUGUAUGAGGCAGGGCGAUGAUUACUUGCAUCUUAUAGCUGAGGAACCCACCGAGAGGGUGCAACUGUUUGCUAGUAAGUGGUAGAGCCCGUAUUUGAACACUCCUAAUCAUUACAACUAUGUAACAACGUUGGAAGAUUUUAUGCAACAUAAGUGGGGAAGAAGGCAGUGUCCUCAGUGUGACCCCAUUUUGGUAAAAGAAGGCAUGUAUACAUAAUCAUAGAAGGAAACCAGAAAGAAAUCCAGAAAGAUGCUGAGUAUUUUCUGUGGGUGGUGGGAUUCUCAGUCUUUUGAGCAGAUGCUGUUGGUACCCUGGCCCACCCUCGUGUCACCACCUCGAGUUACCUUAUUACAGGAUAGGAGUUUCCUGGUCUUUCUGCCCAAGGGCAUCUCUGGCCAGUGUACAGGGCAGACCAGACUGCUGAGGAGCUGAUGUCCCAGGAGUACCCCUCACAGGUGACAGAAGGUACCCUUUGCGGCUGUGUCCUUCCCACUGUCUCAGAGGGUCCCCAGGAGGAGGAGCACCAGGGACCCAUAGCAGUAACGUUUAUAGCAGUGCCAACACCUUCGUGAGCUUUUUCUCUUCCUCUCCCGUCUCAUUUCUGCUUUCUUUCGCCAUGCUUCCUGGGAUCACCUCCCAGCAAACGUAUUGGCAACCAAAUCAUGUCAGCGUUGGCUUUGCGGAGAAUCCAGACUUGCUUAAAAAGAAAGAAGAAAAAAAAAAGCAUUCAAGACUAAUAAAGGACUAUGCACAGUAGCUCAUGCCUGUAAUCCCGGCACUUUGGAGGCUGAGGCGGGAAGAUCGCUUGAGCACAGGAUUUGAGACCAGCCUGGGCAACGUGGCAAAACCCCAUCCUUACAAAAAAUACGAAAAUUAGUUGCACGUGAUGGAGUGUGCCUGUAGUCCCAGCUACUCAGAAGGCUGAGGCAGGAGGACUGAUCGAGCCCAUGAGGUUGAGGCUGCAGUGAGCUGAGAUUGUGCCACUGCACUCUAGCCUGGAUGACAGAGUGAGAACCUGUCAAAAAGAGGAAAGAAAGAAAGAGAAAGAAAG